UUUAGCAGAAAUCACCUUACAGCACGUUUAACAUCAUAGGGGUUUAUUUCGAACGGCAGACGAUGGACAUGAAAACUUUCGCCGUGUUGGUUAUAUUUCUUACCAUGCCGAUUAUGUCUAUCCAGCUCGAGACUGAAUGUAAACCAGGAGAGUGUCUGUAUCAAGGACAAUGCUGGGAAAACUAUCGAGGAAUACAAACAACCGUCGAAAGGAAUGUCAAUACCGGAUGUCUGAAAGUUCUCGUCUGCGAUGAAGGAAUUGUCAAAGUACGGAAUGUUUGUAGACAUUGAUAUAUUCCUGAUGUAGCCUACUAUGAAGAAAGAAAAUAACAACAACGAAAGAAAGAAAAUAACAAUGACCAGAGAAAAUACGACACAGACUUUUAUCAGUGUGCUCUUGUUUCAACUAAUCAAAUAAGAUAGUAAUAUAUGUAAUGAACGAAAUAUACCUGUGAUAUUAAACAAAUGUGCUAC